UUGGUACAUUACUUUGAAGCAUAAACAACAUUAUUCACCACACGGUACAAGGCUGUCUUCAUUACCCAUUACCUUUAUUCCUCCCAAAAUUCCAAGAUGCAGAGAUUCAUCGUGGUCAUCGCCCUGAUUGUUCUUCUCCAUGAUGUUCAUGGACAAGAAGCUGUAAACUCGGGAGUAUGUCCGAGUUCGACCCCGACAGUCAGUGGAAAAUGUCAGUCAGACUGCAACUUUGACACAGACUGUGGUAUAAACCUAAAAUGCUGCCUUCAUAAUUGUAACAACGGCAAGACUGCAAUGAAAUGCAUCCAGGGCGCCAUCGAACUGCAAUUAAUUUAAUUGAUGUGUGGAUCUCGACGAUGUACACCUUCUCAAUAAAGUAUUUCAUAUCCGAUAAUUGAUGGUGUUGAUAUGUUUUGUGAUGUUAAGUAAAACUUAAGCUUAUGCACUGCUUUCAAUUUACAGUUUCAACAGGUACAUAUAUUCAUACUAC